rnacentral:SRP_RNA from 1 species
UCAUACCUGUUCUUAUGCGGAUUCCCUUUUUCCGCAUGAUGUUCUUUUUCAGGUCGGGCUGCAGCGUCUUGGUCUUGCGCAAUGGAGUCCUGUGAACCUCGUCAGGUCCGGAAGGAAGCAGCGAUAAGCGGGGUGCUCCAUGUGCCGCGAGGGUGCCUGGAGGCUGCGGUUCGACGUGGAAAAGAAUGGAUGA